UAUAUUAACGCUGUUGCUGUUAAAGGGUUCGUAGUUGAAUUGAGGGUUGCUCAAGAUUGGCGGGUUGUCCUCCGGGGCCCCGCCGCUUGCAACUCGCGAACAUUCGAAACAAGUAGCACGGGAGCGAAUUUCCCUCCGAACACCGCGUGCAACGCACGCAGGAGGGCGCCCGUGAUCUUUACUGUGAUUAAAAAAGCGUGACCAAAGCAGUCAUCCGACAUGAAUUUCCAAGCAUGGGAUAACAUCUGUACCUUCGGGACUUCCGUUGGCUUUUGUUGGUUUUAAGGGUCUUAAGGAGAUUAAGGCGCCGCGCGACACGCCAAAGAGUUUUACAUUCCUAGGUGAUCCGGGCAACCGGUUCGCGGCGCUCAGAAUGAAGGAGGGUUGUCGGGGACGAACGUACUCGCGCGUGAGAGGUGAAAUUCAUAGACCGCGCGAAGACGAACAACAGCGAAGGCAUUCGUCAAGGAUACCUUCCUCAAUCAAGAACCAAAGUGUGGGGAUCGAAGAUGAUUAGAGACCAUUGUAGUCCACGCCACAAACGAU
rnacentral:rRNA from 1 species